UUUCUACUGCUCUGCAGGAGGAUCCGAUGACUGUGACCGACUGGGACACCGACCCAGGAAUGCCUGGCGGGGUGGAGGGUCUGGAGACUGCAAUUGAGAUUUCACCUGAUUCUUGGCCACAAAGUUUCAAGGGAACCAGAGCUAAUGAAGACAGCAUGGAAGGGCACCGCCGAGACCUACCUGUGGGAGUCCACCUCACCCUCAAGAACAGCUACCAUUUUAACACAGAUGGAUAAACCCCAUGAAAGUGAACUUCCUAAAUGCAAAUUCUGAUCUUGAAGCCCCAGCUGGCACAUCUACUGGAGACCCUCCCAAGCAACAAGAUGUAGAUGCUUUAGAGAUAACAAACUAUACAAGUUGUCUUCCAUUCUUUCUCCUUCCUCUAUUUUCAACACGGAUAAAAUACAUAUAUAUUUAUCUUGCUGAGCUCAGUAGGAUUAUUUAGCUUUAUUUCCAUGGCUGCCUUUUCUUAAUGUAAUAGAAUUUCCAAUCGAGCUUAUUACUUCCUUCCGUCACAAGCCUGAGGUCCUUUCACACCCAUCCUGUCCUUGGCAAAGAUCUUUGGAAAGUAGCCUGGGACAUACCUAGUGGUAAGCCACCUGCUCUGGGUUGAGGGUGGAUCUAUUCUAGUCAGAGGCUUUGUGAUCUGGACAAAGGAAUUGAGUAUGUGGCUGUCAAACUGUCAGGCAAUACUAAAUUUGGCUGGCCAGCUGAAUUCUAGCAGAAAAUCAUGCAAAAUAAGGUUUAGCAAUUGGGGAAAAAUGGCCCACAGGAAAAACAAAGGGAUGAAAUUCCGUAGGACUACACGGCCAUAGAAUUCUAACUUGAGGGCUGCAACCAGCUAUGUGACCUUGUAGUACAAGGACCAGUCUUCAGAUACAAAAUAGAGUUUGGAGUUAAAGGGAUCUUUGAGAAGAAGCCAUUAUCCACCCCCUCCUCCCAAUUUUAUAUGCCCUAAGAAAAAGGUUUCUUUCAACUUAGAAAGGUAUGAUUCUUGAAGUGCACUUCCUCCGAGUUUUCCUGAGCCUCUCAAUCAAAAUGACUUGCACCUGCCCAUCCAUUCCCAUUGGCUUAUGCUCCUACCCUGCAGUAUUGGCUUCAUUAUGCCUCACCUUGUACACCUGUCUGAUUCCUCUCCUAGAUUAUCAGC
rnacentral:lncRNA from 1 species